rnacentral:tRNA from 1 species
GCCAGUAUGAGGGAUAUGACCCUCGGCUUGUAACCGAGUGGGUUCGGGUUCAAAUCCCGAGUAAGACA